rnacentral:rRNA from 1 species
CGGGGGGAGUAUGGUCGCAAGGCUGAAACUUAAAGGAAUUGACGGGAGGGCACACCAGGAGUGGAGCCUGCGGCUUAAUUUGACUCAACACGGGGAAACUUACCAGGGCCAGAUAGUAGGAGGAUUGACAGAUUGAGAGCUCUUUCUUGAUUUGCUAGGUGGUGGUGCAUGGUCGUUCUUAGUUGGUGGUGUGAAUUGUCUGGUUAAUUCCGAUAACGAACGAGACCUUAACUUAUUAAAUAAAUUGGGUGAAGGAUUUCCUCACGCAGCUGCUUUCGGGUGGUUGUUGUGGGGGUCAAAAACUUUACACUAAUUUCUUAAAAGGACUAUUUAUGUUUAUUACAACUAAUAGAUGGAAGUUUGAGGCAAUAACAGGUCUGUGAUGCCCUUCGAUGCUCUGGGCCGCACGCGCGCUACAAUGAUGAAUUCAAUGAGUAUUAAAGACACACGCAGGGUGCAUCUG